AAAGGCUCCGAAGUCCAAACACUAUGGUGGUUCACAAUCCCUAGCAAGUAGAGUGUCAUCGGCUGUGCUUCAAAAGAAUGAGGGUUACAAUUACUUAGAACAGAUGAAUGAAGCUGCACUUCUAUCUCCAGGAGAAUACACAAAAAGUAUUGCAAAGAAACU